CCUACGGGAGGCAGCAGUGGGGAAUAUUGCACAAUGGGGGAAACCCUGAUGCAGCGACGCCGCGUGAGUGAAGACGUAAUUCGUUAUGUAAAGCUCUAUCAGCAGGGAAGUAAAUGACGGUACCUGAGUAAGAAGCCCCGGCUAACUACGUGCCAGCAGCCGCGGUAAUACGUAGGGGGCAAGCGUUAUCCGGAUUUACUGGGGGUAAAGGGGGCGUAGACGGCAGUGCAAGCCUGGAGUGAAAGGCGGGGACUCAACCCCCGGACUGCACUGGAAACUGUACGGCUGGAGUGCAGGAGAGGUAAGUGGAAUUCCUGGUGUAGCGGUGAAAUGCGUAGAUAUUAGGAGGAACACCAGUGGCGAAGGCAGCUUACUGGACUGUAACUGACGUUGAGGCUCGAAAGCGUGGGGAGCAAACAGGAUUAGAUACCCGAGUAGUC
rnacentral:rRNA from 1 species